rnacentral:rRNA from 1 species
CUACGGGGGGCACCAGUUAGGAAUCUUUUGCAAUGCACGAAAGUGUGACAAAGCGAACCAAAGUGCUUUUCUAUUAUUGAAAAGCUUUUGCUCUCUCUAAAAAGGUGGGUGAAUAAGGACUGGGCAAGACUAGUGCCAGCCGCCGCGGUAAUACUAGCUGUUCAAGUCGCAGCCAUCUUUAUUGGGUCUAAAACAUCCGUAGCUUGCUCUGUAAGUUCCUUGUGAAAUCCGGCUUCUUAAGCGUCGGGCGGGCAGGGAGUACUAUUUAGCUAGAGACUGGAAGACGUAAGGAGUACGUUCGAAGUAAUGGUAAAAUAUGUUAAUCUUGAGCGGACUAACAACAGCGAAGGCACCUUACGAGGACAGUUCUGACAGUAAAGGAUGAAGGCUAGGGGCGCGAAGUGGAUUAGAUACCCCUGUAGUC